AUACGAACUGCGCGAACGUUAUUCGGAUUCACUGGGCUUAAAGGGUGCGUAGGCGGCCUGUUAAGUAGGGCGUGAAAUCUGUCGGCUCAACCGGCAAAUUGCGUUCUAAACUGGCAGGCUUGAGUGGGUCAGGGGUGUGUGGAACUUCCGGUGGAGCGGUGAAAUGUGUUGAUAUCGGAAGGAACGCCGGUGGCGAAAGCGACACACUGGGGCCUGUCUGACGCUGAGGCACGAAAGCCAGGGUAGCGAACGGGAUUAGAAACCCCUGUAGUCC
rnacentral:rRNA from 1 species